AGACAUAAAAUUAGCUACUGAUUAUAGCAAAGGCAUCUUCAAUUUGAUGGAAUUUUAGAGCAUUGGGAAUUCAUUGGGAUUGACAAUAUUAAUAAUAUGUUUUUUCAUGAAUAGGCCAUUAUCACAAAGUGUUUUCAGCUCAGAGUUUGCCUGUAUAGACUGAGAUUGGGCUAACUACAGCUUUUGGGUCAAAUUGGCCUGCCAUCUGCUUAAUUAAAUAAGGAUUAAUUGGAACACAGCCAUGCCCAUUUAUUUAUUAUCGUCAGUGGCUUCUUUCAUGCUAUGAAGGCAAAGUUAAGUGUGACAGAGAUGUUAUUUUCUGCAAAGUAAAAAAUAUUAAGUAUCUGGACUUUUACAAAACAGUUUUGCCCAUGCUUGGGUAAACACUGUGACUCAGUUGACACUGGCUCCUAAAAUUUUAAAUGAAAAUAGAAUGCUUCCUUAGAAAUAUGAUGUUUGGUUAAAAUAACUUUAAGUGAAUAUUUCUUAAAGCAUUAAUGUUUUGUGGACAAUUGCUCUUCUUUUUAAUUUAAUGAUUGUAGCAGUUUUUAGUUGGUGGUGGUAAUAACAGUGGUAGUAGCAAAGUGUAUCAGUGUAAGUGUAUUUGCAUAUGUUUACCUUUAAAAUUCUUUUGUAUUUUGUUUUGUUUUGGUGAUUUGGCACUGAGAUUAUUUG
rnacentral:lncRNA from 1 species